rnacentral:rRNA from 1 species
UACGAAGGGGGCUAGCGUUGUUCGGAUUUACUUGGGCGUAAAGCGCACGUAGGCGGAUCUUUAAGUCAUGAGGUGAAAUCCCAAGGCUCAACCUUGGAACUGCCUUUGAUACUGGGGAUCUUGAGUCCGGGAGAGGUGAGUGGAACUGCGAGUGUAGAGGUGAAAAUUCGUAGAUAUUCGCAAGAACACCAGUGGCGAAGGCGGCUCACUGGCCCGGUACUGAACGCUGAGGUGCGAA